AGUGAACGCUGGCGGUAGGCCUAACACAUGCAAGUCGAACGGCAGCACAGGAGAGCUUGCUCUCUGGGUGGCGAGUGGCGGACGGGCGAGGAAUACAUCGGAAUCUACUUUUUCGUGGGGGAUAACGUAGGGAAACUUACGCUAAUACCGCAUACGACCUACGGGUGAAAGCAGGGGACCUUCGGGCCUUGCGCGAUUGAAUGAGCCGAUGUCGGAUUAGCUAGUUGGCGGGGUAAAGGCCCACCAAGGCGACGAUCCGUAGCUGGUCUGAGAGGAUGAUCAGCCACACUGGAACUGAGACACGGUCCAGACUCCUACGGGAGGCAGCAGUGGGGAAUAUUGGACAAUGGGCGCAAGCCUGAUCCAGCCAUACCGCGUGGGUGAAGAAGGCCUUCGGGUUGUAAAGCCCUUUUGUUGGGAAGGAAAUCCAGCUGGCUAAUACCCGGUUGGGAUGACGGUACCCAAAGAAUAAGCACCGGCUAACUUCGUGCCAGCAGCCGCCGUAA
rnacentral:rRNA from 1 species